rnacentral:rRNA from 1 species
AUACGGAGGGUGCAAGCGUUAUCCGGAAUCAUUGGGUUUAAAGGGUCCGUAGGCGGAUAAUUAAGUCAGAGGUGAAAUCCCACAGCUUAACUGUGGCACUGCCUUUGAUACUGGUUAUCUUGAGUUACAGGGAAGUAGAUAGAAUAUGUAGUGUAGCGGUGAAAUGCAUAGAUAUUACAUAGAAUACCGAUUGCGAAGGCAGUCUACUAUCUGUAUACUGACGCUAAUGGACGAAAGCGUGGGGAGCGAACAGGAUUAGAAACCCUAGUAGUCC